rnacentral:misc_RNA from 1 species
CACUACCACCACGUCUCCUGGGUGCCGCGUUCUUGGUGGUCGCUGCCGUCGCACACGAAUCGCACCGCUGUGGCGCAUCUGUCUCCUCUCUUUCCUUCUCUGCAUCAUGCACACGCGUCCCAAGACAGAGGCUACCAUCUCUACCUUCCUCCGUCACCCCACACGUAAGCGCGCGCACACACUCUCAGCGGCUGCGGUGGCGAGCACCGACGUCGGUGCCGACGAUGGCGGUGUGCCACGCGAGAGAGCAGUUUUGUAUGCGAGGCAAGCGUGUGCGUGGUUACAGCAAUCUCAAUAGCAAUGUGUAUGCACGUUCGCUUCGUGUGUGUGUGGCUGUCUCAUGGAACCGGCACAAGACACUGCUGUCGUUCUUGCUUUGUUUCUCUCGCAUUCCCUGGGCGAUCGAGGGGCCAUCCUUGGCUCCUGUUUCCAUCCGCUCUCCCUCUCUGUCUGUGAGUGAGUGUACACGCGGCAUCUAGCUGCAGCUUCCAAAGUCCCUACUUUUGCUCUUCGCUGCCUGAUUGACUCCUCUACGGAUAUGACGACGAAACUGGGUACCUUGCUGGGCGCUGCAGAGCAAUCAAAGAAGCGGAGAACAGCCGCGCCGCGCAUCCAGGCCAGAGAGAGAGGUGUAAGGCAAAGUACACUCAUGUGCCUCGUGCGCCUUCCCUUCCUCCUUCUGCCCCUCUGCCAGGAGCGCCCGCUGCGGCGCCGGCAUCUCGUCCACACGCGCGGGCCCGCCUGUGCUAUGCCGUGAUAAUGUGAGAAAGAGAGAAAUGAUGACCUCGUGGGUGUCCGACGCGCGCCUCCAGUUUGUCCCCUGCGCGCGGCGUCACACCCGCGCGCACGCACGACGGAGAGAGCAACGGACGGUGCCGAGCCGCCCACAGCGCCACUGGCACCACAUACUGGGGCGUCCCCCCUGCGCCGAACCGCUGUCGGAAAGGCGCGGGCAGUCCCACCCUCCACGCACGCGCACUGGCACGCGUCGGCGCACCUGCCGGCACGCAAGCACACACGCACACGUACACGCGCGCGCAUCGACGCGCUCACAGGCGUCCGCGCCGCUAUGCACCAGCACCAGCAGCGUCUGCUCGGGCACGCACAUACGCACGCCACCGCCACCACCGCGGCGGGCGACGCCGAGGGGCCCACAAGCAAACCCGUUGUCCUCCCUCUUCCUUGUCGCCCCGCAG